UACAGAGGUCUCAAGCGUUGUUCGGAUUCAUUGGGCGUAAAGGGUGCGUAGGCGGCGCGGUAAGUCGGGUGUGAAAUUUCGGAGCUUAACUCCGAAACUGCAUUUGAUACUGCCGUGCUUGAGGACUGGAGAGGAGACUGGAAUUUACGGUGUAGCGGUGAAAUGCGUAGAUAUCGUAAGGAAGACCAGUGGCGAAGGCGGGUCUCUGGACAGUUCCUGACGCUGAGGCACGAAGGCCAGGGGAGCAAACGGG
rnacentral:rRNA from 1 species